rnacentral:rRNA from 5 species
AUUGAACGCUGGCGGCAGGCCUAACACAUGCAAGUCGAGCGGCAGCGGGAAAGUAGCUUGCUACUUUUGCCGGCGAGCGGCGGACGGGUGAGUAAUGCCUGGGGAUCUGCCCAGUCGAGGGGGAUAACAGUUGGAAACGACUGCUAAUACCGCAUACGCCCUACGGGGGAAAGGAGGGGACCUUCGGGCCUUUCGCGAUUGGAUGAACCCAGGUGGGAUUAGCUAGUUGGUGGGGUAAUGGCUCACCAAGGCGACGAUCCCUAGCUGGUCUGAGAGGAUGAUCAGCCACACUGGAACUGAGACACGGUCCAGACUCCUACGGGAGGCAGCAGUGGGGAAUAUUGCACAAUGGGGGAAACCCUGAUGCAGCCAUGCCGCGUGUGUGAAGAAGGCCUUCGGGUUGUAAAGCACUUUCAGCGAGGAGGAAAGGUUGGCAGCUAAUAUCUGUCAGCUGUGACGUACUCGCAG